GUAUACAUAUAUAUAUCCUAAUUAUUCAAUUGACUAGCCCGUCGGCGCAGGUUGUAGCGACCUUGCUUUCUGCUCCGACGGAUGUGAGUUCGAUUCACAUCCCGAGUCUGGGUGUAAU